rnacentral:rRNA from 1 species
ACGUACGUCUACGAGAAGGUUAGUUAGUACUACUGGCUCAGGAUGAACGCUGGCGGCGUGCUUAACACAUGCAUGUCGAACGCUGAAGCUCCCAGCUUGCGUGGGGGUGGAUGAGUGGCGAACGGGUGAGUAUCACGUGAGUAACCUGCCCUUGACUCUGGGAUAAGCCCGGGAAACUGGGUCUAAUACUGGAUAGGACUGGCCAUCGCAUGGUGGUUGGUUGAAAGCUUUUGCGGUUUUGGAUGGACUCGCGGCCUAUCAGCUUGUUGGUGGGGUAAUGGCCUACCAAGGCUUUGACGGGUAACCGGCCUGAGAGGGUGACCGGCCACACUGGGACUGAGGCACGGCCCAGACUCCUACGGGAGGCAGCAGGUGGGGAUAUUGCACAAUGGGCGCAAGCCUGAAUGCAGCGACGCCGCGUGAGGGAUGACGGCCUUCGGGUUGUAAACCUCUUUCAGUUGGGAAGAAGCCGUUUCGGGGUGACGGUACCUUCAGAAGAAGCACCGGCUAACUACGUGCCAGCAGCCGC